GGGCGGGUAGCCUAGCGGGACCAGGGCGCAGAGAAUCGCGUAAGCCUUCUAAGCCUGAGGUCGGGGGUUCAAAUCCCUCCCCGCCCG
rnacentral:tRNA from 1 species